rnacentral:rRNA from 1 species
UACGUAGGGGGCAAGCGUUGUCCGGAAUCAUUGGGCGUAAAGCGCGCGUAGGCGGUUCGAUAAGUCUGCUGUGAAAGUCCAGGGCUCAACCCUGGGAUGCCGGUGGAUACUGUCGGACUAGAGUACGGAAGAGGCGAGUGGAAUUCCCGGUGUAGCGGUGAAAUGCGCAGAUAUCGGGAGGAACACCAAUUGCGAAGGCAGCUCGCUGGGACGUCACUGACGCUGAGACGCGAAAGCGUGGGGAGCGAACAGG